AAAGAAGGGGAUGGAUUCUUUAGCAGGGUCUGUGGUGACAGAACAAAGAGAAAUGGCUUCAAGCUCAGAGAGAGUAGAUUAAGGUUAGAUAUAAGGGAAAUGUCUUGCAGUGAGGGCGGUGUGGCACUGGAACAGGUUGCCCAGAGAUGUGGUUGAUGCUCUGCCCCUGGAAACAUUCAAGGUGAGGCUGGAUCCUGGGCAACCUGAUCUAGCUGUUGUGUCCCUGCUCAUUGCAGGGGAUUUGGACUAAGUGGCUCUUGGAGGUUCCUUCCAACUCUAAGGAUUGUAUGAUUUUAUGUUCGUGCUUUGUGAUGCUCUGUACCUGCUCACAAAUUCCCUGAAGCAAGCGCUGCAUUUAGCUGUCAGCAGGGGGCUGCUGCGUGAGGAUCUUCACUGUGUCCGUGAACAUUCUGCCUGCCCUCUUUUAGUCCUGUGUGAGUGUAACAUCUGAGUGAGAGCUGGGCUGAUGGGGUUUCCCUUCUGGAAAGACAUGGAACGUAUUCCUGUACAUGAAUACAGGGCAUCCCCUGUUUACAUGCUGAGUGCAGGAUUAAAGUACAUGCAUAAAUCAUGCUUUGCUGUAGAUUUCACAGCAAGCUAUGUAGUCUGUGUUGCUGGGAGUUUUGGGGGGUUGCCUGCUCUGCAGUAUGAGUUCUUCUCCUGCAGCAGUGCAGACAUACCACAUACAGUGCACUCACUGACCCGAAUGUCACCAUGCAACAAAAGUGAAGAUGGGAAUGCUCCUAGCAUCUGUGCCAUGUGUUUUAAUAAAUGACAGAACUGCUAAUACUUCCUCUUACUCAUUGCUCUGCCCUUUCCCAGCCAUAGCAAGUCAGCUGUGUAACUCCUGGGAAGACAGACUUCCCAAGGUGCUGUCUCAAGACCCCUCCGAAGGGGAGAGCCUGAUGUCAAUCACUUUAGUUUUCCUGCAGAAAUCAGGGUUACGUGUCUCUUUUCAGCCUUUUGUAGAAUAAAAUGAAUCCAAACAGGAAGGUGGAUUCGAUGUUAGAAGUCCUGGGGUGAGUGAGAGGGGUGCAGCAAUGAGAAGGCAGCAAAGGUGAGUUCUUCAUUUUGUCCUGUAAAACCUCCUCUCAGGAUGAUGUCAGUAUAGGUAUAGCUUGCAUUCCAGCUCGAUUGCACAGUAAAUCUGGGGUGAGGUGUUAAUGAUGGGCUUAGCACAUUUGAACACACACACCUGCCCUCUCCCUGCUGCUAACUGAAGCAGUAGCUGGUAUUUAACCCAGAUGGAAAGCAGCUCUUGUUUUGAGUGGCUACACCUGGAGAGCACAUUUGACUUACUGAGAAAACCAUGUACUUCUGAGCUUGGUAGCCCAUUUCAAAUGCUGAACUAUGAAUGGUGCUGCUCACUGGGCCUGUAAUGAGGGUAAGAGCAGGCUGUGAGGCCCUUACAAACCUGCUCUAAUUAAUAAGCUGCCUUCAUGCUUCCCUGCAGCUUGGGGUGCCACCCUGCUGGCUCAGGCCUGAGGCCUUGCUGAUCCUGUGUCAGGCCUCCCCAGAGGCAAGUUAAAAACACUGUGUUGUUGUUUAGAAGAGGGCAUACCCUUUUUCAUGAGGCCCUGAGGGCCUUAUGGUAAAGGGCCAACUGAACUGAUGUAGCUUUUGCUCUGGGCCUGUGGACAAGCACCUUGUCCCCUGGGGAAUGGUCACCUUUUGCUGGGGUGGGCUGUAAGGCCCUCAUAUUUUUCUGCUGGGAGUGAAAGCUUCUGUUCCUCAGAGCCAAGAGGGUGAGCUUCAGGCAGUGGAGAUUCAUGCUGCAGCAGUGCUCACAGCCCCAGGGCAACAGGCUUUGAGACACCGCUAAGUUAAAGGAAAAUUAAAGUAUGUGUGUCAGGUGAUUGAGACAUUCUAAGCUUACUGAUCCCAUAAGAAAGGCCUGGAAGUGGGGGAAAUGGGAUUGUUCAGUCUGGAGAAGAGGAGGCUUGAGGGAGGUCCUGUUACUCUCUACAGUCACAUGAAAGGAGGUUGCAGCGAGGUGGGGUUGGUCUCUUCUCCCAGGUAACUGUAAUAGGAUGACAAAUAAUAGUUUUAAGCUAUACCGGGGGAGGCUUGGAUUGGAUAUUAGGGGAAAUUUCUUCUCAGAAGGAGUGUUGAAGCAGUGGCACAGGCUGCCCAGGGAGGUGGUGCAGUCACUGUCCCUGGAGGUGUUCAAGAACCAUGGAGAUGUGGCAUGAGGGAUGUAGUCAGUAGGCAUGGUGAGGAUGGGUUGGUGGCUGGACUAGAUGAUCUUGGACACCUUUUUCAACGUUAAUUAUUCUAUGACUCCUCAUUAGCUCCGAACUAGUAAUGGUCUGUUUGUCCCCAUAGGCUAACCUUGCUGGAAGCACAUAUGCAUGAGUGGUAAACUUCUACGUGAGGGAUGAAUGGAUGCUCCAUCACUCUCUUUGAGAAAAUGCCAUUGUCCUACCUUGGUUUGGAAGAAGGAAUGAGAGGAUUAUUGUGUGGAUGCUCCUCCCGGAGACGAGCAAUUUCCCAGCCAAAGAAACUCUCCAGCUCUUUCUGCUGUGACUGCCAGGCUUCAUUCUGCUUUAGACAUUCAGAGAUGUAUAGACCUGAACAUCUCUCUUAAUGAGGCCCUCACAUUUGUGCCUUUUUGCUGUUCAUCAAGUUGAAAUGAAGGACUGGAAGCAGAGAAAAGAACAACUGAAAUGAAGAAAUGCUUUCACGUAAUUGCAGUUUGACCUCGUGCCAGCGGAGCUCACUCAUGAACUAGUGGAUUGUCUGAAAUGACUUCCCUGAAUCACUGGAAUCAUAUCUAAAAUGGCAGCUUGAUUUUCUUCUUUGUACUUCGCCUGUUGUCAGCUUUCCUUGGACUCUGCGGCUAAGCCUUAGUGCUGUGGCUGUGUGUGCGUGACAGUCCUGCUGCCAUCACUAAGGUGCCCAGGGUUAGUUGGGAUGGAUUCAGACUUUCUGUUACCUAAAAGCACAACAGACAUAGGAUGAGGCAUGCUCCUGUGACUGAUGCCACAGUGGGAUUUGUGUGAAGAGUGGCUGGGGCUCUGGUUUGUGGAGAAACUAGUUGGGAGCGAGGUGUAGAAAUACCAAUUGGAGACACAGAAGAUCACUUCGGUGUUCUUUGCUCAUUCUCCCAAUCCAAAAGCAGGGGGAAAUCAGUGAAAUGGGAGAUAAUAAAUAAAACAGGAGUGGGGAAAGUUAUUUGUUAGCUCUAUUUACUGUCUGUCUGCGAGACUUCACUGAGGCUGGGAUCAGUACAGUCUAAACUAACAAAUAACCACACAGGUGUUGAAAGCCCUGGUUUCAGGGCAGACAAAGGUGAUAUGGAGUGGUAUAUCUUAUUUCAUAGAAAAUGUCAGCAAGGACAGAUGCUUCCCACUGCACACACUGUCUGACAGGCACUGCUCUGAGUUGGCUCUUAAAUCUGUGUGUGAUCCCUCAAGGCAUUUUUAAACCCACAGGAAGCAGGGCAAUUGUCUGGGGGCUUAUUUUGUGAGCUGGAUGAAUGAAAGAUUUCUGUGGUGCCAGAUCCCUCUCUUCUGGCUUAGGGAGAGGAUGUGCAGGGGGAUGUCCCAUCCCUGGGAUGCUCAGUUUGCAUUGGAGAGCAUAGGAAACCAUGUCUGAAGCUGGCUGAGAGCAUUUCUGAGCAGAACGAACCUCCUUUGCCAAUUCAGCCUCUGUGUGUGGAGGAAUGGAAGCUACCAAUGGCCCUGAGUUGGAGCUGGGCUGUGGCAGACUCAACUGUGGAAAGGAAGACUUGCUGCAGCCUGUCCUUCCACCAGCCCAUUUCAAAGCAGAUACCCAAUGGAGUCUGACAGUGGAUAGGCAGGAGGAUUGUUGGAAUUCAGUUAAAAAUCAGUACCAUUUUGUUGAAAAUCAGGAUUUCUUAGUUCUGGAAUAUUUUUUUUUGUUGUUGUCCUCUCUUUGUGUUUCACACGUUUCUGUUGGAAAAGAUGAUAAAAUAAACUUCAUUUUUUUCUUAAGGAAAAAUAUUUCCUUUCUGAAGUAAAGAGGUGUUUGCACUGACUACAUGGAUUGAUGUGAUUCAGUCACUUCCCGAACACUUUCAACGUUGUCUCAGUCUGUCACAGUUUUAAUUUAGUUGAACCAGGGAAGAGGAAUUUUAGUUCAGUCUCUUGAUGAAUCUGCCAGUGUGGUUCCCAGUAUGUUCUCUCCUUGAUAGAAGCAAUUGGCGUGUUGCUUUCUACCCUAGGAGGCCUCAACUGCCAUGAAAGGCCACAGUCUGAUGGGAUGUCAAACUGCAGAGCACUUGUUAAGCUCCCAUAGCUGGCAGCAUCUGUGCAUUUGCAAUGACAACUCUAAACCCAUCCAGGAUACAAAAGUACUCCAAAAUUGUAGCCUUUGUGUGUGUAUGUGCUGUAUGUUUUAUUUAUAAAGCUUUUAGAGAUAGCAGUUUGUUCUCUAAUUUAUUUUGGGUUGGUGAGGAGGAGGAAAUCUCAUUGGCAAGAUAGGGAAUUUGCAAUCUGAAUGUAAAAGGAAUAUGAAAAAAAAAAAAGAGGAAUAAUAAAAAGUCCGGAGUUCUGGGACAUGUUUGUAUGAAUAAUAAUGCUUCCAAAACGAUAAUGGAUUGUGUGUCAUCCAUUUGUGGAACUGUAGAAGCUGCUAUGAUAAAUAAAACGAUGUGUCAAAUUUUA